CCUUACCACUCCUCCAAAAGGGCAGGGAGUUGGGCGCGUUUCGGGGAGCUCGGGCACAAGCGUUGGGGAUGAAGAUGUGGUACCAAGGGUCAGAGGUACCACGAAUCCAGAAAUUGUAGGAGGAGGACAUGUUUCCGAGCGUGUACAUAGUUUCUGCUCGGACUUGCUGUGCAGCUUCGAGCACAAGUCUUGCCCUCUCUGAGACUGAGUUCCCCGCCCAUCAAAGAAUCCUGGGUAUCAGCCCCUAAGCCGGCCCAGCAUCAGCCGGGUAAGAAGAGAGGCCCGAAGGCCUCUGCCUCAGUUGCCUCCUCUGCUGGAGCGAUGAGGAAAAUGGAGGACCGUGGUUACACAGCUGCCCAGGGCGACACCAGGGGCGGAGCCAGGUCUGAAUCCAAGGAGGUGGUUAUUGCCGGCUUUGCUCCAGGCUCUGCAGGUUUCAGAGUAAGAAAAUGAGCUCCUGGGACUCUCCCCUCUCCCCACGUGGGAGUCUGUGUCUGUUUCUCAAUA